rnacentral:rRNA from 1 species
GAUGAACGCUGGCGGCGUGCCUAAUACAUGCAAGUCGAGCGAAUGGAUUGAGAGCUUGCUCUUAUGAAGUUAGCGGCGGACGGGUGAGUAACACGUGGGUAACCUGCCCAUAAGACUGGGAUAACUCCGGGAAACCGGGGCUAAUACCGGAUAACAUUUUGAACCGCAUGGUUCGAAAUUGAAAGGCGGCUUCAGCUGUCACUUAUGGAUGGACCCGCGUCGCAUCAGCUAGUUGGUGAGGUAACGGCUCACCAAGGCAACGAUGCGUAGCCGAAGUGAGAGGGUGAUCGGCCACACUGGGACUGGGACACGGCCCAGACUCCUACGGGAGGCAGCAGUAGGGAAUCUUCCGCAAUGGACGAAAGUCUGACGGAGCAACGCCGCGUGAGUGAUGAAGCCUUUCGGGUCGUAAAACUCUGUUGUUAGGGAAGAACAAGUGCUAGUUGAAUAAGCUGGCACCUUGACGGUACCUAACCAGAAAGCCACGGCUAACUACGUGCCAGCCGCCGCCGUAA